rnacentral:antisense_RNA from 1 species
AGCUCCUGUAUUUGUGAGUAUUGGUCAAGUUAGAUUUUAAGACCAAUGAUAAUAGUGUUAUUAGCUAAAUCAUCCCAACGGUUAUAAGCGGAGCAUUACAUGUCGUUCUUGAUGUUUCGAAUGAGAACCUUGGUAAGGCUUUCCUUUGAGUUGAAGUUUAUUUCAUUGCAUUGAGAUUCAACAUAUUUGGAAACAAGAAUAACUGGGAGAGGAUUUGGUGGGUCAACCUUCUUAAUUGAUUCCGUAUCAAUAGGUAAUGGAGUCUCACCCUUGAGUUUUCUUUGUUCAUUUUCAAUUCUUCUCCUUUCUGCCAUCUGUUUGAUAAGGUAUUGCUGUUUGUUAUAGUCCCUAUAUCCUUUGUAAAGUUUCUCUUGUUCUAAUGACAAAACAUCGAUAGAUUCUGCGAGAUUUAAUAGCGCCUUGUCAUUGAUAUCAAGGGGUGUUUUUGUGUUGAUAGAUAAUUCAGAAUAGUCAAUAGUGGAUUGGAGUACAUCUGAAGUUAUCCAAUCAAGUAGGAAAGCUUCAGAAAGAACUGGGUAUUUAAUAUAAAUUGGGACUUCAACAAGAAUAUCCUCAAAGCUGGCAUUCUUAAAAAUGUGAAAGUUAUCUUCGUCAUCUUUGAGUUUGCUUGCAUAUUCAGAGUUCAAGGUAAAAGCUUUAAAAGCAUUUUUCUUACCCUGAAUAAGUAAGUCAGGAUCAAUGCUUAAAAGGAUAGCAUUUUUACUCUCAAUGUUAUUAUAGUAAGAUAAUAAUGUAGAAACAACUCCAUAAUCUUGGAAAUCAUCAAGACGUAUAAGCUGGUACCAUCCAAGCACAAAACAAUCGGAACGUAUUUCAUGCAUAAGCUCAACCAUUGCAGCCUGAUAUUUGUCAACUUCUUCAACAAGACGCUCCUCUAAAUCCAGUUUUUCUGAUUUAUCCAACUUUCCUCCACUAUAGUUAGACAUGAGAGACGGAAGCAAAUCUUCUCUUGUUGGAAGCUGGAAGGAUGUUGUAAUUUCUAGCUUAUUGCCGUAUUCCAUACCUAGCAAUUGACCUGUAGCAUUCAUUUGUGAGUAGUUCUCUGUACAAUGCUUAAUAAUUCUUAAAAUGGCAGAAAUAUCAGCCUCUACUGAAGAAACUGUAGUUUUUGUUGAUAAAUGUUUAUAGUGAGAUGAUCCUCCUGAAUUUCCUAUUGUAUUUCCACUUGAAAAACUAUAGUGCUGAUGAUGUCCAGUACCUGAUGACAAAGAACCCUGUGAAAUCUGCUGUCCUCCUGACUGAGAUUGAAAGUAUCCAGAUCCUUUUCCUCCUGAAAUACCUGAAGAACCAGAAAGUUGCUGGACCUCCUCUUUUGAAUCUUUAUCUUCAGUCUGUCUGCUAAUUCCCCAACCUACAUGUUUCGUUGUUUGAGUGGCUCCUUCCAUUGGAUUAGAACUCAACCCUAUUAGGCCGUCUUUCCCGAUCAUCUUGGCAAAUUCUUGCUUCUGGAGCCGUAGUUCUAAUUAUUUAUAUCCUUUAUUUUAUACAAAUAUCAAGGUUUUAAAAGUUAAAACCUUUUUGUCAAUUUAAUAUUUCUUUCCACUUUUUUCAGUCAUAUAGUCAAUUAAAGCAAUAUUAGCCUUUUGGCGCCAUGGCGCCACAUUUCGAGACGAGUAUUUUUAUAUACCGGCUAAUUUACAUGAUCAUUUGGAAUUAGGGGGAAAUGGCGAGUAAAGAAAAUUGUAAAAAAAGCUAUAAUUAAGUAAAACUAAAUAGAAAGCUUGAAACUGUCAUAUUAAUGACUUAAAGGUAUAUAAGACUAGGUAUUAAAUAGAAUUGACUGUAGGCAUGCGGGAAGAUCAACUUCAAUAUUGCCGUACAAAUAUUCGUUAAAAAAGCAUCCGUUGGAGAUCUGUUUAUUUAGACUUAGGUUUUUAUAAAGCUGAUUUUUUGUAGAGAUCCUCUUCAGUGUGAGAUGAGAUGAAUCUAUCUGAUUGAGAAAGUAGAGUGAAAUUUGAUUUAGCGUGACAAAGUCUUUAUUGCAUGAUUGUUUUGUCAUUUGAAUUAGGUUAAAAAUUUCGGACUUAAGAGCCCACC